UGUGAAUGAUGACACUUUUUUGCCUGACCCUACUGUGGGGGUACAAAAUGAUUUAAUGAGCCUGACGC